GACGAACGCUGGCGGCGUGCCUAAUACAUGCAAGUAGAACGCUGAAGAGAGGAGCUUGCUCUUCUUGGAUGAGUUGCGAACGGGUGAGUAACGCGUAGGUAACCUGCCUUGUAGCGGGGGAUAACUAUUGGAAACGAUAGCUAAUACCGCAUAACAAUGGAUGACACAUGUCAUUUAUUUGAAAGGGGCAAUUGCUCCACUACAAGAUGGACCUGCGUUGUAUUAGCUAGUAGGUGAGGUAAUGGCUCACCUAGGCGACGAUACAUAGCCGACCUGAGAGGGUGAUCGGCCACACUGGGACUGAGACACGGCCCAGACUCCUACGGGAGGCAGCAGUAGGGAAUCUUCGGCAAUGGGGGCAACCCUGACCGAGCAACGCCGCGGGAGUGAAGAAGGUUUUCGGAUCGUAAAGUUCUGUUGUAAGUCAAGAACGGGUGUGAGAGUGGAAAGUUCACACUGUGACGGUAGCUUACCAGAAAGGGACGGCUAACUACGUG
rnacentral:rRNA from 1 species